AAAUGUCAAGAAUAAACCAAAGCUGCAGUUGCCGAAGAUGAAAUUUAAGAAGUUCUAAUUUCACUUUGGCAUAAUCUUCUUUUUAUGAGCCAAAGCCACGUAAAUCUCACCAAUUUCUUGUCCCACUACUAGGAAAACCUAACAUUCGUGCAUCUAGUCGCUCCUGCAAGCUGUUCUAUGGCGAAGUAUCUGAAAAGACAUUUUAUGGAGGUAUGCAUAGGAAUUUCGACUAAUUUUUCAUCAUGUUAAUUUGAUAUUAGAAUUUCCCUUAAUAAAAAAUAUCUAUGGCAUAAAGCAUUUAAUGCCAAUAUAUUGAAAUAUAUUGCAGCCAAACUCGAAAAUUAAAUAAAUCAAGUUUGGCAUGCAAGUAUUGAAUGCUUUGGCCAACACUUUACACUUCCAUCCUUAGUCCAAAACAGUUCCUAGUUUUCCAAGAAGAAUACAUUUUGCUUUCAUUAUUUGCGUCCUCCGGCCACAUAACUCUUUCUCUCCCCUCAAAUACCAGAAUGCGAAGCUUUCCAUACCCAAAGAUUCCCAUGCCUUUCUUGGUUGGACCAAACCAAAAUGCCGCAUAAGAUCAUCUUCAAUCAACUUGAUUUCCUUUCUCAUUCGCUUGUCUGUGCGUUGUUCAAGACAAAUUUUAUCUCUUUCUAAUAGUUUAAACUUAUAAUAUGAAUUAAAUAUUGAAUAAAACGACACAAAGUUUGGGUUGAAAUCUCGCUGGCAGUCACUUUUUAAAAUUGUGAAUGUCUUUUAUUAAAUAAUAGAUAGACCAUGUAAGCAAUGGCGUAUUGUAGAUAAAAAUAAAGAACUUGUCCAUGUGAUGAGCUAGCAAUGGAACUUUACAAGAACGCUGUUUGAAUCUGUGGACAAAUUUGGUGUUCUUCUUUUGUUCUCCCCUCCCCUUUGAACUUAUGGUUUCUAUCGUUUUCCUUUCUAUCAUUUUAGGAACACAAAAUUGAUAAAUUUCGUCCUCGUUCAUAGUUAAACAUUUCACAGUGUUGGGAUUGACUCAAAUGAAUAUUGAUACAAAGUUUAGGGACCAAUGAUUUAAAUAGUCA
rnacentral:lncRNA from 1 species